rnacentral:rRNA from 1 species
GAGUUUGAUCAUGGCUCAGAUUGAACGCUGGCGGCAUGCCUUACACAUGCAAGUCGAACGGUAACAGGUCUUCGGAUGCUGACGAGUGGCGAACGGGUGAGUAAUACAUCGGAACGUGCCCAGACGUGGGGGGAUAACGAGGCGAAAGCUUUGCUAAUACCGCAUACGAUCUAAGGAUGAAAGCAGGGGACCGCAAGGCCUUGCGCGUUUGGAGCGGCCGAUGGCAGAUUAGGUAGUUGGUGGGAUAAAAGCUUACCAAGCCGACGAUCUGUAGCUGGUCUGAGAGGACGACCAGCCACACUGGGACUGAGACACGGCCCAGACUCCUACGGGAGGCAGCAGUGGGGAAUUUUGGACAAUGGGCGAAAGCCUGAUCCAGCAAUGCCGCGUGCAGGAUGAAGGCCUUCGGUU